AACGCACGCAGAGGCCCCCCUCCCCCAUGACCACGCUUUCUGCGCACUCGCGGUUGAUUCAGAAGUUUGACACCUGUCGGACGGCCUUCAUGUUGUGCCGUGCGCAGGUGCAAGCGGACUCGCACAUUCCGAGCCUCCACAAUGUCGUGCACGCGACGAACGCGAUGGCGGCCGUGCAUCAGCUGCUCGGCCCGGAGCGGUCUGUGUUUGUCGCGACGGAGGUGCACCCUCAAGGCGUCGGCCACACCUGUCAUGGCAUCCAGCUGCCAGAGGACGUCAUCAUCGCCAAGAAUGUGAGAGUGUCGAUGCUGGUCCCAAAGGUGCGGUCGCACAUUCUCGGCGACGCCGAGCGUGGCAUUCCACCUGUGCAGCAGGUUGUUAUCUGGGGCUACGAGACGUGCGGCUGCAUCUUGCAGACCGCUGACGAUCUUCUCACGCACGGCGUCCACGUCGCCGUCCUUGUUGACGGGUGCGCCUCGCAAACGAUGGAGAUGCACAACACGGCGGUGUUACAGCUAUCCCACUGGGAUGGCUUGAUGGUCACAACAGUGCCGUCUGCUGUAAUGCAGCUGACGCGAUCCGAUGCACGAUUUGUCAAGCCAAUCAUCCAAAUCAUGAAGAAGUUUGCCGCCGACUGGAGCACCACGCAGCCGCGGCCGGAGCUGCGCGACUGGAGAGGGGGCGGUGAUGGCGGCGAGGCCACCGCUGCCAACGACGCCAGGGCCGCCCCGUCUGCGUUAGCCACCACCACCGCAGCAGAUGCUGUACUCACCGCGGAUUCGGCUUGCUGUAGAAUGGACCACUGAGUACAUCUACAGUGUGAUGCUGGUCGUGGUGGCGGGUGGGCGGACAACGAUGAAGGGACGGAGUUCCCUUCUGCAGGGAACAUGAGGCAGAACCUUUCCUCAUCUUUGGACUCUCGGCGGGCGCGCAUGUGCUGGCCAUGGCCGCGCGUCAUACCGGGGUUGGUGACGAACACAUCUGCACGCUGCCGCUGCUGCUGCUGCUGCUUUUCCAGUCUCCUCUGAUGGCUGUUUAUGAGCAGGUCGCACCUGCUUGUUUGCUUCCACGGCUCUCUCGCUCGCUCCCCACGCACGGAGCGCGCGGCAUACCCUGACUCCCCUCCCCUCUCUCUCUCUCUCGCUACCCUCUUCCGUGGCAGCCAUCGAAGGACGCUCGCUCGUGAAAUCUGUGGCCACUGCUCUGCCUCGACCUCUGACUUGUGGCGGUGAGACAACCUGUCGGCAGCGCAGCGAGCGGCGAACACCGGCGAAACCCGCAAAGCCUCUGCUCCGUGUGGCCUCCCGCGCCACGCUUCAUCCUUCGAUCGGCUCUUUAGACACAUCCAUGCCCACGGGCAUGCGCACGCCCCAUCGUCAUUGCCACCCAGGUCAUCGUCUGCUGCAGCUAGCUUCACGCACUUGCGUGGUUGGCGCCCACAACAUGCUGUAGCCUUCUCCUUCACACUCUUCCUCUGCUCGAUGCAUCACACACAUCUACGUUCUGUGUGCACCCGUCUGCCGUGGCACUUACGCACACGCAAG
rnacentral:misc_RNA from 1 species